rnacentral:tRNA from 1 species
GCGGUUAUAGUUAAAUGGUAUAACCUCAGCCUUCCAAGCUGAUGUUGUCGGUUCGAUCCCGUCUACCCGCUCCA